rnacentral:lncRNA from 1 species
CAUUCCUUCUGCAUUAACCUUUUCGCUCUCAGUUUCUUUCAUUUGGUUUUCUUCAUCUACGGUCUAGCAGCUAUUCUAAUGCUUUAGAGAUGUUUCUCUUCUCUCUUGCGCCUUUCUGUUAGCUCUUUAUUUUCUAUUGGCUUUCCCUGAUCCCUGUGUCAAAUUCUUAGCUUCGCGCCGGCUUUAAUCAGGUACGUCCUUGUUUUUCUUUACUGCAUUUCCUGGUUGACCUUUUCCUCGUUUGCUCUUAGUUAAUCUGCAGUUACUUAUUUUCUUUUCUUGUGGUUGAAGUUAUGUUUCUAUCAUUUUUUUCCUCCCGAUUAAUUACCUAAGAAUAUCUGUUUUGUUUCCAUGAUUUUUGUGAAAAAACUCAGUACUUCGCGCAGAAUCAUUUUUCUUUGUUGCAGCUUUUUAGUCUGCAUUAACUCUGAAUUUUUUUACGUUAGCUGACUCCAUAAACUAUUAACAAAUUUAAAAAAUCUCCUUACUUUUCCCAUUUUGGUGUAUUUUGCUCAUGCUCACUGUGUGUGCCUUUUCCAUGAUCAUACCAGUUCAUUUAGUGCACCCAAGUUUUCCACGAUCCUAUUAGCUGUUUAUUAUUCAGGUAAAGCAAUCCUUUCUUCGCUUAAUUGCUUCUCCUUUGCUUACUGCUCAGUCUAUUCUGCCUUGUUCUAUUUGAUUUUGCAUACCAUGUUUGUUAUCUCUUUGCCUAUUGAAUAGCGAUCAUCUAUAUAUAAAAAAGGCACAUGCUUUUUGCUUUCAUAUUCAUGAUCUGCGAAAUUUCCAGAGACUUUUACAUAGUAUGGGCACCCCGCGACAGCCGCGGGGUCGAAUGCCUAGUACAAUUUGAAAGGGUUAACUUAACCUCCAAUAUCAGGCUCCAUUUUGCACUUUGGUUCUCAUAAUUCAUUUAAUUAGCUAUUUAGACCUCAAUAAUAGGUCAAAAAACAUUUGCUUCUAAGAAUUGUGCAAAGGAUCACAUUUUUAGCCCUUAAACAGUUAAACGUUACUAAAACAUUUUAGCCCUUUAAGAAUUGGGCAAAAAAAAUCACCAAAAACAUUUUCCCCUCUAAGAAUUGGGCAAAAAACAUUUUUAGCCCUUAAAUUCUUUGACUGCAAGUUUCAUUUAAAUGCCACAAUAGUUAACGGUCAACUUUGUCGUUGAAAGGAAAGAAAUUUAAUUUCUUAUAUAAAAGAUUAGAACUAGGCUGUGUUAACAAACAUUACAAAAUAAAGGAUUAAUAACACUUUGCUCCCCUGAAUUUAGGAGAUUGUCACACUUUACCUUUCUCAACCUUAAAUAUAUAUGUAUAUAUAUAUAUAUAUAUAUAUAUAUAUAUAUACUUUAUUCCCAUAAAGACUAGUCAAAGUUAAAAAUAAAAAAAAUUGAGUGAAAUAACAUUAUUUCCCUUUUAUUCAUGAAAUUAUUUAUAACUUAAUAUCAUUUCCUUUCAUUGCCAAAAGAUUUAUAACUUCUUUAUCAUAUCAUUAUUAAAAAAAUCAAAUGAAAAAAAGUUAAAGAAGGUUAAUAUUUAGUUUAUAUCCUUGACAUUUUUCCUGUUGGAUUAAUGUUUACUUCUAUAUAUGUUUUGUUCAAUUUAUUAGACUUUAAGUCAAACAAAAUUAAUAAAUAACAUAAUACUAAAAAUAAGUGUAAUUAUCAAAAUUUAUAUGAAAAGGUAAUAUCAAACUCAUUUUUCUAAAACAAAUUUUUAUUAUUUUAAUUUAUUUAAACUUCUAGACUAAUAUUGUUGUCAUUUUUCUAUUUAUUAAAUUAGUCCAAUAUGAAAUUCGUAAUCAAAUUUGCUAAAAAUGGUUGAUAUACCUCAGUUUUAAACAUAAAGAAGGAAAAUGGAGAAUAAAUGAAAUUUUAUUUUCUUGACAAGAAAAGGCAAUAAUAGUAAACUAUAAAUACAUCAAUAGAACAUGACAAUAGUUUGAGCCUAAAAUUUCACAUAAACUAAAAUAAUAAAAAACUACAUUUUUAAACAAAAAAAGUUUAGUAUUACCUCUUUUUGAAAAAGAAAUUUGGUAUUUGUGUUUAUUUAGUAUUGUGAUAUUUAUUCUUUUUUAUUUGACUUAAAUUAUAAUAAAUUGAAUAAAGAAUAUAUAAAUGUGAAUGCUAACCACUGAUAGAAAAAAUUUUAAGGAUAUAAACUAAAUUUAAACAUUAUUUAACUUUUUUUAGUUUGAUAUUGUUGUAAGUUGAUAUGAUAGAGAAGAUGUAUACUUUUUUAGCAACCAAAGGAAAUAAUACUAAGUUAUAGAUAAUUUUAUGAAUAAAUGGGCAAUAAUCAUUAUACUCACCUUUUUGUAUUUUUAAUUUUGACUAAUUGUCAUAGGGGUAAAGUAUAUGAUAAGCGCAGGAUGUGCUUGUAAGAAUAAUCUAUUUGCUACGCCGCAAGUUUUAAAUUUAUAAAUUUCUAAAUAUCCCGUAUACUUCUACAAGUUUACAAGUCUCGUUUGAAUAUAAGGUAUUAAGAGUCGUCGAUUCCAUAAGAAAGAUUGAUCAACUAUCGACACUAUUCAAACUUCUUUAUUAUUUAUUAUCAACAAAUUGGAGAAAAGUAAAACUAUGCUAGAAAAUAAUAACGGAAAGGUCCUCAAGUCAAGGUAUCUCUAACUACUCAAGCAAAUGCAAUUCUUAGACAAUUGAGCACUACUAUCUCGACUAGUUAUGGUGUAAUUUCUUAAGAUAUGUGAAACCCGCUUUCACCAGUAAAUCAAUUGUACUUAUAGCUAAUCCAUACCCACUUUCAUGGACAUAAAGUUAGCUAUAGAUUCAUUUACUUCUAUGAAAUCACAUGGAAUAAUAUCACAAAAGGUACAAAGGUGCAUCUCUACUUUCAUUAGUGUACUCCUUAAAUUUAGUAAUUUCUUAAACUAGUGUUAAACUCCAAAUUGUUGUUGCAAUUCAACACCUUGUGAUUAUCAUAAUUAAUGGCCAGUUGAUCAUAAUUAUAUAAGCAAAAGUAUUAAAUAACAUGCUUAAAAUAAUUGUUGGGCUUGGAUUUUAUUGGUGGGAUAAAACCGAAAUCCAACAAUAAUAGUAUCAAAUAACCAAGUAAUCAACACAAAGCAAUCAUAAAAAAUUCAACCAAGGCAUAAACUUUAAAAUAACAUCAUAAACAUAAGAUUCGUGAAUUGCCAAACAAUAGAAUCCAAGCCAGCAAAAAGUGAAAACAACAACAAAAUUAUACAGACAGAAUGAGAUAAAGGGAAACAAAGGGCAAAACAACCUAACAACGAAGCCUAGCGUCUGCCUGAAGGAAUCAAGAUCUCACUCUUCAUAAUGAUUUCUUCUUCUCUGAAAAAGCAUGGUUCAUCUUCAUCAAUUCUUCCCAUUCUUCCUACACUAACACUAUAACAUCUAAACAAAUCAUCAAAAGCAUCCACCUUGCUAUUUCUCUGACAUAAUCCUCCCUUAUCAGAAUUAUUAUCCUCAUUGGUCUUGGAAUUCAUCAAUCGAUGAAGCUCCUUCCAUUUCUCAUCAUUUUUCAUAGCGUUCUUCAAACUUGCUCCAAAAUAUUUUGGCAUGUGGGAUACCCGGGGAGCAGGCAUGGCCAUCAUCAUGUUGCUACCAUAGACAACCCUUCCAUCGAAUUCAAUCAUGCUUUUAACGUAAAAAUCUCUAGCCUUGGCUAGAAAUCUCUUUGGUGCGGCAAUGUAUCGCCUUAGCUUACUUUGCCUACCCUCUUUGCUUCUCAUCUAGCUUAGUAUUUUCUUGUAGGAACUUAAAGAGCAAGAGAAAGAAGUUUUUGGUACGGUGUGGGGAGGGAGGUAAAAUAGUUUAUAUAGAUUGAUUUCAUUGUUUUGACUAUUGACAUGUUUGGUUGGUUUGAAAGAGAAUUCACAAAUGCUUGUUUGGAAUUAUCAGAAGUGAAGAAGAUACUUUGAAGAAUAUAGAAACAUACGGGAAAUGGAAUUUUU